CCUACGGGUGGCAGCAGGGAGGAAGAGUGGUCAAUGGGCGCGAGCCGGAACCAGCCAAGUAGCGUGAAGGAUGACUGCCCUACGGGUUGUAAACUUCUUUUAUAAAGGAAUAAAGUGAGGCACGUGGGCCUUUUUGUAUGUACUUUAUGAAUAAGGAUCGGCUAACUCCGUGCCAGCAGCCGCGGUAAUACGGAGGAUCCGAGCGUUAUCCGGAGUUAUUGGGUUUAAAGGGAGCGUAGAGGGGUUGUUAAGUCAGUUGUGAAAGUUUGCGGCGAAACCGUAAAAUUGCCAUUGAUACUUGCAGUCUUGCGUACAGUUGAGGUCGGCGGACUUCGUUGUGUAGCGG
rnacentral:rRNA from 1 species